CAGGACGAACGCUAGCGACAGGCCUAACACAUGCAAGUCGAGGGGCAGCACAAGGAGCAAUCUGAGGUGGCGACCGGCGCACGGGUGAGUAACACGUAUGCAACCUGCCUGUAAGCGGGGAAUAACCCGUUGAAAGACGGACUGAUACCGCAUAAUACUAAAUUACUGCAUGGUAAUUUAUUUAAACAUUUAUGGCUUACAGAUGGGCAUGCGCAUGAUUAGCUAGUUGGAGAGGUAACGGCUCCCCAAGGCAACGAUCAUUAGGGGUUCUGAGAGGAAGGUCCCCCACACUGGUACUGAGACACGGACCAGACUCCUACGGGAGGCAGCAGUGAGGAAUAUUGGUCAAUGGACGAGAGUCUGAACCAGCCAAGUCGCGUGCAGGAAGAAUGUCCUAUGGAUUGUAAACUGCUUUUGCAGGGGAAUAAAGUGCAUCACGUGUGAUGUUUUGUAUGUACUCUGCGAAUAAGGAUCGGCUAACUCCGUGCCAGCCGCCGC
rnacentral:rRNA from 1 species